rnacentral:rRNA from 1 species
UACGGAGGAUCCAAGCGUUAUCCGGAAUCAUUGGGUUUAAAGGGUCCGUAGGCGGCCCGAUAAGUCAGUGGUGAAAUCUCCCGGCUCAACCGGGAAAUGGCCAUUGAUACUGUCGGGCUUGAAUUAUUAGGAAGUAACUAGAAUAUGUAGUGUAGCGGUGAAAUGCUUAGAUAUUACAUGGAAUACCGAUUGCGAAGGCAGGUUACUACUAAUGGAUUGACGCUGAUGGACGAAAGCGUGGGUAGCGAACAGG